rnacentral:rRNA from 1 species
UACGUAGGCAGCAAGCGUUGUUCGGAGUUACUGGGCGUAAAGAGUGUGUAGGCGGUUGGGCAAGUUUGGCGUGAAAUCUCCCGGCUUAACUGGGAGGGUGCGUCGAAUACUGCCCGGCUAGAGUGCGGGAGAGGAAAGCGGAAUUCCUGGUGUAGCGGUGAAAUGCGUAGAUAUCAGGAGGAACACCUGCGGUGUAGACGGCUUUCUGGACCGUAACUGACGCUGAGACACGAAAGCGUGGGUAGCAAACAGG